UUUGUUGUUUUAUUUGUACUUAGAAACACUUUGAAGAUGACCAGUACGAGGAAAAUCGACAGGAUGGGCGCCGUCUGUUAAAGUCAACAGCCCUGCCCACGCUGUUUCAAUUUCGACCUCGGCCUAAGCGAAGAAGACCUCCUGCGAGGCGGCCUGCCGCAUGUGUACUUGCUGGUACGGAAAACAGCCCUUCCUCAAGUAUUGCUCAAGAAGUUGACCUUGACGACACCGCAGAAGUCAGUCGAGAUAGUAUCUGCUCUUUGGAAGAAACUGCAGUUGAGCGUGAAUGCACUGAAGACAUCUCGCUUUCGGCAUGUGAGCUACGAAAGGCUCUGCAAGACAUGAAAAAGAAAAACAAUGAAUUGCAUGAAAGCUUGUUGUCAGUGAAGUCAGUGAAAAAGAAGUUGAAGACAACUACCAGAAAGACAAAGCGGCUGGAAAAAAGCCUUGCUACGCUGACCAAAAACCUAAAGUUUUUGAACGAGGAUCAGAAGGCUGCCUUGGAAAGAAAAACGCUGGAAGCAGGUAAUCGCUUAUCACUUCACGGGCGCUUUUGUGAAUGGAGAGAAGUCAAGAGACUUUGUUUUCCAUUUAAUUAGGCUUUGUGCAGAUAUUUCAUUGCGCGUGCUUUGCGUGACAUGCGACAUGGGGAGUUCCAACCGUGCAAUGUGGCGAAGCCUAAACCUGUCAAAUUCCCGCUAUUCUGUCACUACGUGCACUGUUCCCAAUCCAUGUGACAAUGCUAUGUCGCUGUUCUUUAUGCCAAAUCCUUCACACGUUCUUAAAAAUGUCAGAGGGCAGCUCGUACGGAAAGAUCCGAUGCAAGUCAGUGACGAAAUAGUGGCCAAGUACAAUUUACGAAGCAGAGAUGUGUCGAUUGAGUACGUUGAAGCAGUGCUAAAGUUAGACACGGAGCAGUUAAAAGUGGCUCCCAAUCUAAGUACCCUCCAUGUUUAGAACGGCCACUUCACAAAGAUGAAAGUAGGGGUGGCAGUUCAGCUAUUCCGUGAAG